GAGUUUGAUCCUGGCUCAGGACGAACGCUGGCGGCGUGCUUAACACAUGCAAGUCGAGCGAUGAAGCUCCUUCGGGAGUGGAUUAGCGGCGGACGGGUGAGUAACACGUGGGUAACCUGCCUCAUAGAGGGGAAUAGCCUUUCGAAAGGAAGAUUAAUACCGCAUAAGAUUGUAGUACCGCAUGGUAUAGCAAUUAAAGGAGUAAUCCGCUAUGAGAUGGACCCGCGUCGCAUUAGCUAGUUGGUGAGGUAACUGCUCACCAAGGCGACGAUGCGUAGCCGACCUGAGAGGGUGAUCGGCCACAUUGGGACUGAGACACGGCCCAGACUCCUACGGGAGGCAGCAGUGGGGAAUAUUGCACAAUGGGGGAAACCCUGAUGCAGCAACGCCGCGUGAGUGAUGACGGUCUUCGGAUUGUAAAACUCUGUCUUUAGGGACGAUAAUGACGGUACCUAAGGAGGAAGCCACGGCUAACUACGUGCCAGCAGCCGCGGUAAUACGU
rnacentral:rRNA from 1 species